rnacentral:rRNA from 1 species
ACCUUGCGGAAGGAUCAUUG